rnacentral:lncRNA from 1 species
AAAAAAAUAAAUUUGAGGGAUCCUCCACAUGAGGCUCACACCUUAGUUAGCCUCUUGUAAUACCCCAAAAUUUACCCUCCCUUUAUUACCUUUUUCUUUGCAUCAUUUGCAUACAAUAAAUCACCCCAUGCAUCAUCACACAUUAGCAUGACCAUUUCAUUUGGUCAUUGGCUCACAAGCAUGGCCACAUUCUUGGUUUAAUC